rnacentral:rRNA from 1 species
GAGUUUGAUCCUGGCUCAGGAUGAACGCUAGCGACAGGCUUAACACAUGCAAGUCGAGGGGCAGCGGGGGAGCAGCAAUGCUCCUGCCGGCGACCGGCGCACGGGUGAGUAACACGUAUGGAACCUGCCCGCAGCAGGGGGAUAAGCGGAAGAAAUUCCGUCUAAUACCGCGUAACACCGCGGAGGGGCAUCCCUCGGCGGUUAAAGAUUCAUCGGCUGCGGAUGGCCAUGCGGCGCAUUAGCUAGUCGGCGGGGUAACGGCCCACCGAGGCGACGAUGCGUAGGGGUUCUGAGAGGAAGGUCCCCCACACUGGUACUGAGACACGGACCAGACUCCUACGGGAGGCAGCAGUGAGGAAUAUUGGUCAAUGGCCGUAAGGCUGAACCAGCCAAGUCGCGUGAGGGAAGACGGCCCUACGGGUUGUAAACCUCUUUUGUCAGGGAGCAAGAGGCGGGUCGGGACCUGCUGUGAGAGUACCUGAAGAAAAAGCAUCGGCUAACUCCGUGCCAGCAGCCGCGGUAAUACGGAGGAUGCGAGCGUUAUCCGGAUUUAUUGGGUUUAAAGGGUGCGCAGGCGGAGGCACAAGUCAGCGGUAAAAUCGCGGGGCUCAACCCCGCUCCGCCGUUGAAACUGUGUCCCUUGAGUGCGCGAAGGGUAGGCGGAAUGCGUGGUGUAGCGGUGAAAUGCAUAGAUAUCACGCAGAACUCCGAUCGCGAAGGCAGCCUACUGGCGCGCGACUGACGCUCAUGCACGAAAGCGUGGGUAUCGAACAGGAUUAGAUACCCUGGUAGUCCACGCAGUAAACGAUGAAUGCUAUCUGUCCGGCCGGAAUGACGGCUGGGUGGCACAGCGAAAGCGUUAAGCAUUCCACCUGGGGAGUACGCCGGCAACGGUGAAACUCAAAGGAAUUGACGG